CCUACGGGGGGCAGCAGUGGGGAAUAUUGGGCAAUGGGCGCAAGCCUGACCCAGCAACGCCGCGUGAAGGAAGAAGGCUUUCGGGUUGUAAACCUCUUUUCUCAGGGACGAAGCAAGUGACGGUACCUGAGGAAUAAGCCACGGCUAACUACGUGCCAGCAGCCGCGGUAAGUCGGAGGUGGCAAGCGUUAUCCGGAUUUACUGGGUGUAAAGGGCGUGUAGGCGGGAAAGCAAGUCAGAUGUGGAAACCAUGGGCUCAACCUGUGGCCUGCAUUUGAAACUGUUUUUCUUGAGUGCUGGAGAGGCAGACGGAAUGCCUAGUGUAGCGGUGAAAUGCGGAGAUAUUAGGAGGAACACCAGUGGCGAAGGCGGUCUGCUGGACAGCAACUGACGCUGAGGCGCGAAAGCGUGGGGAGCAAACAGGAUUAGAUACCCGAGUAGUC
rnacentral:rRNA from 1 species